AACGAACGCUGGCGGCAUGCCUAACACAGCCAAGUCGAACGAGACCUUCUGGUCUAUUGUCUCACGGGUGCGUAACGCGUGGGAACCUGCCCUUAGGUUCGGAAUAACUCCCCGAAAGGGGUCCUAAUACCGGAUAAUGUCUUCGGACCAAAGACUUAUCGCCUUUGGAUGGGCCCGCGUUGGAUUAGCUAUUUGGUAGGGUAAAAGCCUACCAAGGCGACGAUCCAUAGCUGGUCUGAGAGGAUGAUCAGCCACACUGGGACUGAGGCACGGCCCAGACUCGUAGGGGAGGCAGCAGUGGGGAAGAUGCGAAAAUGGGCGGAAGCCUAAUCCAGCAAUGCCGCGUGAGUGAUGAAGGACUUAGGGUUGUAAAGCUCUUUUACCCGGGAUGAUAAUGACAGUGCCGGGAGAAUAAACUCCGACUAACACCGUG
rnacentral:rRNA from 1 species